UACGUAGGGUCCGAGCGUUGUCCGGAAUUACUGGGCGUAAAGGGCUCGUAGGCGGCCAACUAAGUCAGACGUGAAAUCCCUCGGCUUAACCGGGGAACUGCGUCUGAUACUGGAUGGCUUGAGUUUGGGAGAGGGAUGCGGAAUUCCAGGUGUAGCGGUGAAAUGCGUAGAUAUCGUAAGGAAGACCAGUGGCGAAGGCGGGUCUCUGGACAGUUCCUGACGCUGAGGCACGAAGGCCAGGGGAGCAAACGGG
rnacentral:rRNA from 1 species